UGUUCAUGUAGAUUAUAUUAGCUUACGCUUACUUUACUUACGUGUUUACUUUCUACGCGCAUCUUCGCGUUUCACAAUCAGUUUAACGUAUUAUUUCUUUAUUUGAAACAUAAUACCCUCACUAUCGAAGAUAUAUCCUUUCCAGGAAUAUAACGACUCUUGUCGCCCAAGUAUAUGUAUAUAUACGUUUGACCUGCCAGAGGGCCUCCCCUCCCCACUCCUUACCAAUUGAAAUUACCUUAGUAAACAAUGGUGCAGCCGGGGGGUCAGUCUAAUGUCGAAAGUGGAAGCGAUUAGACGUGUUUUAGUGUCACUCCGCGAUAGGUGUUGAUUAUUUUAUUGCGUAGCAAAUGCUUUCAUAAUCGUCCUACCAUCACGGAAACACACGCUACUGUAAACUUCGUUUAACUAAGAUUAUUGCUUGGUUGCGAGGGAAACUUCGGAGCAUUAAUAGAGGGAUACUGCGAAAUUCGAAAGGACGAGAUGAAAGUCAAGACGGCGCCAUCGCAGCGAUCGAUGAUAAAUGUGAUAACUGUUCGUCGAAACGUGAUAUUACAGAACCUGUACUUUCAUUAUAAGGUUUGAUAAUUCUUCCAGGAUGACAGCCUUCAUGAUGGUUUCUUCUGAAGUACAUCAACAUCGUCGACAUCGUUCUUCGUGUGUAACUAAAAAAUCACCAUGUGCCCUAAUGACUCGAACAACUUUCAAACUGUUGCAUCAUCUUUCGAACUUACUUUCUACGUCCUUUCUACGUAAUAAUAACGGACGAUAAAAGAAUGGGAUAAGGAUGAGUUGAAUGGGGAAAGACGUUCGAAUAACGCUGUGACAUCGAAACGAUAAUAUAUCGUGCAACAGUUGGGUGAAAGGUAUUCCAAGGUUUUCUCGAGUCUACAUGUCAAGGGUGGAUUACAGCAAAAGAAACAGCC